UUUUAUCGAUUGCUCAAUCGUAGCCUCGUAGGAUCCUCCCGUCCUUCAACAAUGUGGUUAAAACAAAGCAGGCAAUCUUCUAAAUGUUUGAAAUAGCCCAGGACUAUCCUGAAGAGGGUUCUACAACAUAAAAAAUCAUAUAUAUCAAAUAUGACAACACUUACGAUGAAGAAUUUAGCCCUAACUGUUGAUGUGGAGUUGGUGCUAAUUUGCUGCCAUUCCCUUUCGUGAUGUUUUCAAUGUCAAGUAAUGCACAUUAAUAGCUGGACGCUGACAAAUUGUCACUCGCACCUGAGAACAGGCUGGUGGAUUCUGAGCUUCUUUGUGUCAGUCCAAUAUGUGCUAUGUGCAGAUGGGUUUGUUGCAGCCAGCCGGUGAUAGGUGCUCUUCUUGCUACCUGUACCAGCUGUAUGUUUCAUAUUGUAAAAAACACUGAACAGAAUGAACUGAACUUCAGAACAAUGAAGGAUUAACAGCCUGGUGAAGUAUGAGCAUCUUUGUUGCUGCCCAAUGUUCACAUGGAUUUGACAUAAGCGGCAGGUUUAUCGUGUUUGUUCGCGUUGUUGCUGUCCGCUGUGGUACGUUGUUUCAGCCUCUGCUGGUGAUAGAUCUUUCUGCAUCAAAUUCAAUUAGCCGUUCCUUGGUGCUGGACUGCUGGUGUCGUGUUACCGAAAUUGUAUCAUUAUUUUGUUAAAUUGUCAUCGUGAUUGCAGUUUACCGUUAAGAAGUUAAGAAGCAACAAAAGCAAAUAUGGGAUAUUUAUGUCAAAUAAUAAACAUGUUUUCGGGAUUGGGAAAGGAAAGUGGAGGAUGUUGGAGAGGGGGAGGAUAUUUCAUGUUUGGAUACAAAAUCUGUUAAUCUAUAACCCUACAAAUGUUGCCCUACCAAUUAAUCUCCAAACCCCACAAACA